GAUGAAGAACGUAGCGAAAUGCGAUAAGUAGUGUGAAUUGCAGAAUUCAGUGAAUCAUCGAAUCUUUGAACGCACAUUGCGCCCCUUGGUAUUCCAUGGGGCUUGCCUGUUCGAGCGUCAUUUACACCCUCAAGCUCUGCUUGGUGUUGGGCGUCUGUCCCGCUGCUUUGCGCGGACUCGCCUCAAAGGUAUUGGCAGCGAUCAUGCCAGCUUCUCGCGCAGCACAUUGCGCUUCUUGAAGUUCUGGUGGAUCAGCGUCCAUUAAGCUUACCUUCAUGACUUGACCUCGGAUCAGGUAGGGAUACCCGCUGAACUUAAGCAUAUCAAUAAGCGGAGGA
rnacentral:misc_RNA from 1 species